GACUUUCUAGCUCAGUUGGUAGGACAAUGCAUUAUUAUAUGCAGAGGUUGGGGUUCGAACCCCGACACCCC
rnacentral:tRNA from 1 species